UACGUAGGUGGCAAGCGUUAUCCGGAAUUAUUGGGCGUAAAGAGCUUGUAGGCGGUUUGUCGCGUCUGCUGUGAAAAUCCGGGGCUCAACCCCGGACUUGCAGUGGGUACGGGCAGACUAGAGUGUGGUAGGGGAGACUGGAAUUCCUGGUGUAGCGGUGAAAUGCGCAGAUAUCAGGAGGAACACCGAUGGCGAAGGCAGGUCUCUGGGCCACUACUGACGCUGAGAAGCGAAAGCAUGGGGAGCGAACAGGAUUAGAUA
rnacentral:rRNA from 1 species